UUACGGCCACAUCACGUUGAGACACAGGUUCCCGUACGAUCACCGAAGUUAAGCAACAUCGAGCCAGGUCAGUACCUAGAUGGAUAAAAGUUUGGAAAUACCAGGUUCUGUA